CCCUAUGGGGUGCCGACAUUCUCCUCUCAUUCGCGACGUACCCAUAAGCAGACAUGAUGUGGAAUUGCAGUAUGUUGAAAGAAUUAUCUGAUAAGAGAUGCCUAUAGACCGAAUUGGGCUAGCCCGAUGCUUAAUCUUACGCUAUGCUCAUUCAAAACGUGCUGUGAAUGCUAGAGGAUGCUACGCCCGGUCGAUCGAAGACCGUAAGCCGCCGUUCUCUGAGGCCGAGCCGGGACAGCUUUCCCGGGGAAACCAGGGCGGGGACUUGGCAA
rnacentral:rRNA from 1 species